CAAAUACCAACAGUUUGGUGAAGACACCAGCAACAGCUGUUGCUGAUGCCUACAGGUUGCAGUUUGGGGAAAGACUCAUGAGUACAAGGAUUUCCUGUCAUCAUGAGGGAGGUUUUCUGGCUACUUCUGCUGUGUCCAUGGCUGGUCCUGGGUCAGCUAGGACAAACUCCCACCGGAUCCCCAACAGCUGAUAGUUUUGAAUGUCCCGAGUCUUUUGUAUGGGAUGUGUAUGUGAUGAACUGUAUACCAUGCAGUGUAUGCAUCUCAUACCCACAGUCACCAUUCUGUUCUGCAUGUCCUGGGUUCAUUUAUCAUGAAUCUACAACCCAGGAUGUUAUUGUCCUUGCUACACAUUCACCAGAUUCCGAAGUGAAUUUGGAGUCAUUUGAUACAGGUGAUGACAAGGACGAUGGACUAGACACAGGGAUCAUACAAUAUGUAGUAGCAGCUAUUGGAAUAGUUUUGGCGUGUAUACUGGUGAUGGCAGCACUUUUGACAAGGCAAUGGGUAAUCUGCUCCCGAAG